rnacentral:tRNA from 1 species
AGGUCGUUGGUGUAAUGGUAACACAGCAGUCUCCAAAACUGCUUUCAGGGGUUCGAAUCCUCUACGGCCUG